rnacentral:tRNA from 1 species
GGAGUGUAGCUCAGUCGUAGAGCCCUGGGUUAAUAUGCAUGAGGCCCUUGGUUCGAUCCCCAGCACCCA